UACGAAGGGGGCUAGCGUUGUUCGGAAUCACUGGGCGUAAAGGGCGCGUAGGCGGCUUUAUAAGUCGGGGGUGAAAUCCUGGAGCUCAACUCCAGAACUGCCUUUGAUACUGGCGAUCUUGAGUCCGGGAGAGGUGAGUGGAACUGCGAGUGUAGAGGUGAAAUUCGUAGAUAUUCGCAAGAACACCAGUGGCGAAGGCGGCUCACUGGCCCGGUACUGACGCUGAGGUGCGAAAGCGUGGGGAGCAAACAGG
rnacentral:rRNA from 1 species